rfam:Ovis aries breed Texel chromosome 10, whole genome shotgun sequence.
UCCCUGGUGCUGCAGUGGUUAGGACCCAGCGUUUUCACUGCUAAGGACCCAGGCUCAAUUCCUGGCUAGGGAA